GUCUAAGGCCAUAUCACCAUGAACAAACCCAAUCCCAUCUGAUCUCGGAAGCUAAGCAGGGUCGGGCCUGGUUAGUCCUUGGAUGGGAGACCACCUAGGAAGACCAGGUGCUGUAGGUG
rnacentral:rRNA from 1 species